CCAAAAAAAAAUUUAUUCCCAGAAAAAAAUUAAGAAAAAAAAAUCUUUCCAUGCAUAGUGCAAAAAAAAAAAUUCCUUGCUUAGAAGAUAGGCCAAGUGGUGUACUGGUGCGAGGGCUCAGGGGGGCUGAGCCCCCUUGUUGAAAUUUUAUGUUGACUUGGGGGGCUGCACGUUGGUCAAAUUUUGCAAAAUUUCUCCCACUCGUGCGGGUGCGUAUUGACAGCGGACAUCUUACAGAAAGUGGCCAGUUCUCUGAAAAAUGCAAAAGUUUCAAUUUUACACCGAAAGUCCACUGACAAUAUGAGCCUGCGGUCGUGGGAGAAAAUUUGCUGAAUAUGACCAGCGUGCUGAGCCCAUUGAACUAUAAAUAAACUGGACGGCUAACUGCUAUGAUGAAGGCCUAUGAUUUGAUGAAGCCAAAAUAGUUUUUCUGAGUUAUGAGCAGAAAUACUUGACCCCAAACGUCGGGCUAUAUAUCAAAUUGAAGCUAGGCCAAAAAAAAAAUAUGUGGGUUUCCGGUUUCUUCUUAUAAAAACUUAGGUAGGGUAGGUCGGUUUUAACUUUUUUUUUUAAACUUUUUUUUUAAUUUUCCGAAUAAGCGGACGCCAUUUUGUUUAGUCAGUGCUUCCACAUCCAAAGAUAGAUUUCCUUAAUAUUGCCUCAAAUUUCAAUUUUCCACAAACUUUUUCCUCUAAGUGGAAACACUUACAAGCACGAUCCAAUAAAAAAGUUUAGGGUCGGGAUUUCGACGUCCAACAGUUAGGUAGGGUCGGGAAACCGGAAACACACAUAUUUUUUUUUUUUGGCCCUAUUGAAAAUUGCUAUUCGGUGUGGAAAUUUCAAGACUUCAGCGAAAAGAAAAAUAUUUAAAAAAUACAAAAACAACUGCAAAACGGCAAAUUAUCGGUAAUUAUGUUUGUACUUUUUCAAUACUUCCCUUUUAGCUAAAAUCUUGAAAUUUCUACACCAAAUAGCGUUUUUCAAUAGCUUCAAUUUGAUAUAUAGCCCAACGUUCAGUGUUGAGUAUUUCUGCUCAUAACUCAGAAAAAACUUAAAUGCACUGGCUUCAAUCCCCCCCUGAGUUAGCCUUCCAGUUUAUUUAUAGUUCAAU